rnacentral:rRNA from 1 species
UACGGAGGGUGCGAGCGUUGUCCGGAAUCACUGGGCGUAAAGGGCGCGUAGGCGGCCUGAUAAGUAGGGGGUGAAAUCCUGCGGCUUAACCGCAGGGCUGCCUUCUAAACUGUCAGGCUAGAGCACAGUAGAGGCAGGUGGAAUUCCCGGUGUAGCGGUGGAAUGCGCAGAUAUCGGGAGGAACACCAAUUGCGAAGGCAGCUCGCUGGGACGUUACUGACGCUGAGACGCGAAAGCGUGGGGAGCAAACAGG